UUUAUUUAAAUCUUGCCAAGUGCACCUCAAAACCCCCAACACAACCUGCAAACACCAUAAGCUUGGCACAACCCACAAAUAGAUUGAGCAAUGUCACGCGCCAGCCCAGCCGUUGGACAUGUCUAAGGCGUUUAAGACCAAGGCAUUUGCUUUCGGACAUGUUGAAGUUAUGACAUAAAACCAUUCUGAUUUCAUAUUUUUCCUUCGUUCAAGAAAUGGACGUUGGAAAUUAAGUACAUUUCAUAGUAAUUUUUCAGAAGAAGAUUAAUUUAAUCAAAGCAUAGUGCCAUGCUCCCGUUGUCAAGGCGUAUGCAAUUGGAAGUCUAAGCAAACGGUCGCUCAUGGCUCCCUUGUUGCCAUUUAGAAUUUAGAAGUAAAGAGUUCAAUGCUGUGGCAGAUUGACAGAUUGCUGUUCCCAAGAAGCUUCAGGCAAACAAAGGUGCUCUCUGAAGCUGGGUGUGUCCUGUGCAAAAGGGAAUCAGAAAGAAUAAUCCAGUGAACAAUGAUGACCAUGAAACCGUACUUGGCAAACAACCAGCAACUGGCAUUGAAAUGACACUGUUGACAGUCAGAGAAAUGAUGAUGAAGCAUAAGAUUUCUCGCUCUACCAGUGUUCAGAGGGGCAUUGGAAUGAGGUUCUGGUCAAUUCAAACCGCUGGCUUUUCUUACACUCCCUUGGUAGGUGGAGGUGAAGACAAUCUUGAAGUCUGAACAGAACUACACUCCUGAUGGUUCAACUUCAAAUCAACAAUAACCUGCCCAAGCCUUGGGUUAAGUACUAAUUUUAAGACGAAAAAGUAAAACUCGUAAGUUCAAAGGCGUUCAACGUUUAGCUGUAACAUAACUGAAGGCAUUGACAAGCACCACCAAUAGUUAGUCAAUGGAAAUUGAUGGUAACAAUCAACUGACACUUCAAAAGAAAGUAUGAUCAGGAAAAUUCAAUACAAUUUUGGACAACUAUGACAUCAUUAGUCAGUUGCACCCGACUCUUUCAUAAAUCAAGUUCCCUCCAAAAUCCAAGUCCCUCUGCAUCAUCCAAAAUUGGCAAGCCAUGGCAUAACAUGAACCGUGAGCAUGGCGGGCCGCACCAGAUUCGGCCUGACACGAUCUCAUACGACUUGCUGCAAUAUCUAUAUAGGAGAGAGCACACUUCAUAACAUCACUUUUAAUUAGAAUAACAAAUAACAUUACUUUUAAUAAGAAGGUCAAAUAUACAUAUUGUUAGAAUUAUGCCUUAAAUCUUGUUCCACAUUGAUUGUUUAAAGAAAGUUGUUUCUAGAUGAGGUAAUCUCAAAUAAUGAGAGACAUUGAUAGAAUAGUAGUAGACUAUUACAAUGUGUAAUUAGGCUUUCUAAGAUUCAAUAAUUAAAAGGAGUUUUAUGGUUUUUCUCUUCCAAAGUGACAUAAUUGUAAAGACUUGUUGAUUUGUGGAUUUAGUUUUGGAAUUCA